AUUGGUUUGUAUAUCAGUGUAAUCAAGCCAGGCAGGCCCGGACAAUACAAGUAAAUCGUGUUUAAUACGACUACAGAAUAGUGGGAAUCAUAAUGGAAGGAAGAUAAAAUAAGACGCAACGUACGGGUUUUAGCUACAAUAAUUAGUAAGAUUGAAGACUUCUUGACGAUGAUUAUAAUGUAUCCUAUAAAAUAUUCACUCACCAGAAUCGUCCAAAGAUCCAGGAGGGACAGAUAUCUACUCCAAACCUGGAAUCUGUUGCAGAAUAUUAAAGAAAAUUAUGGGAAAACAAAUGUGAAUGACGGACAGAUUUAGUAAGAUGAAAGAUUUAAGCCUACGAGCACACUACUGUUUCUCACA